GACGAACGCUGGCGGCGUGCUUAAUACAUGCAAGUCGAACGGAGCUUAGCCAGUAGUUUACUACAGGCGAAAGCUUAGUGGCGGACGGGUGAGUAACGCGUGGGUAAUCUGCCCCUAAGUCUGGGAUAACAGAGCGAAAGUUCUGCUAACACCGGAUAUACUUUCUUUAUCGCAUGGUGAAGGAAGGAAAGGUUACGCUUAGGGAUGAGCCCGCGUCCCAUUAGCUAGUUGGUGAGGUAACAGCUCACCAAGGCGACGAUGGGUAGCCGGCCUGAGAGGGUGGACGGCCACACUGGGACUGAGACACGGCCCAGACUCCUACGGGAGGCAGCAGUAGGGAAUUUUCCGCAAUGGGCGAAAGCCUGACGGAGCAACGCCGCGUGAGGGAAGAAGGUCUUCGGAUCGUAAACCUUUGUCAUCGAGGACGAUAAUGACGGUACUCGAGGAGGAAGCCCCGGCUAACUAC
rnacentral:rRNA from 1 species